rnacentral:lncRNA from 1 species
CAAAAAGGUCCUAUAUAAUGUGGCUCAGCUUCCCUCUUUUCUUGAACAACAUUUUUCCUUUGUAGGAGAAAAUCUUAAGGAAGACUUGGUCUCCAAUGGGGAAUUCGAAAGGUCUUUUACGAUUAUUAGUGUAACUUUUCUGGUGACUCUAGGCAGUAACCAAGUUCCUACGGAUGGUCACAGCCUUCUCAAUAGUCUCAUGGAUGAAGUCUUAUCCUAGAUGACACUAGUUUUCGACUUUGCUCUAGCAAGUGGGAGAACGACAGGGCCUACAGUACAAGGCUUCAUAUGGAGCCAU